rnacentral:tRNA from 1 species
UGCCUGGUCGUCUAACGGUAGGACGUUGGUUUCUGGUACCAAAAAUCGGGGUUCGAUUCCCUGCCGGGCAGCAA